rnacentral:tRNA from 1 species
GGGGUUGUGGCUCAGUGGUAGAGCGCUUGCCUAGCACCUGCAAAACGCUGGGUUCGAUCCUCAGCACCA